AACGUACGCUGGCGGCACGCCUAACACAUGCAAGUCGAGCGAGGUAGCAAUACCUAGCGGCAGACGGGUGCGUAACAUGUGGGAAUCUGCCUUUUGGUUCGGAACAACACGGGGAAACCUGUGCUAAUACCGGAUAAGCCCUUACGGAGAAAGUUUUAAUGCCAAAAGAUGAGCCCGCAUUUGAUUAGCUAGUUGGUGAGGUAAAAGCUCACCAAGGCGAUAAUCAAUAGCUGAUUUGAGAGGAUGAUCAGCCACACUGGGACUGAGAUACGGCCCAGACUCCUACGGGAGGCAGCAGUGGGGAAUCUUGCACAAUGGGCGAAAGCCUGAUGCAGCGAUGCCGCGUGAGUGAAGAAGGCCUUUGGGUUGUAAAGCUCUUUUGUCGGGAAAGAUAAUGACUGUACCCGAAGAAUAAGGUCCGGCUAACUUCGUGCCAGCAGCCGCGGUAAUACGAAGGGACCUAGCGUAGUUCGGAAUUACUGGGCGUAAAGAGUAUGUAGGCGGCUAGAUAAGUUAAUUGUGAAAGCCCAAAGCUUAACUUUGGAAUUGCAAUUAAAACUAUUUAGCUGGAGUAUGAUAGAGGAAAGCGGAAUACAUAGUGUAGAGGUGAAAUUCGUAGAUAUUAUGUAGAACACCAGUUGCGAAGGCGGCUUUCUGGAUCAUUACUGACGCUGAGAUACGAAAGUAUGGGUAGCGAAGAGGAUUAGAUACCCUCGUAGUCCAUACCAUAAACGAUGAUUAUUAGAUGUGGGGAAUUAUUUCUCUGUAUCAUAGCUAACGCGUUAAAUAAUCCGCCUGGGGAGUACGACCGCAAGGUUAAAACUCAAAUGAAUUGACGGGGACCCGCACAAGCGGUGGAGCAUGUGGUUUAAUUCGAAGCAACGCGCAGAACCUUACCAACCCUUGACAUGUUCGUCGCGAGACUAAGAAAUUAGUCUCU
rnacentral:rRNA from 1 species